rnacentral:lncRNA from 1 species
GCUGCUGCUGCUGUUGCUGCACCGGGCGCGGCCGCGACACUCGCCUGGGUCUCCGGUUGGCGGCUCGGACGGAGUUCAUUUGCCGGGCUGAGGUGGCGGCGUUGGCGGAGGGACACACACACACACACGCACACGCACCGCGAGCUCCGGGGCGGGAGAAGGGGGUGGGGAGAGGGGGGAGGAAGGAAAGGGGGCGAGGGGAAGGGGAGAUGGUAAGGGCGGAGGGGCGAGCGGGACCCCGAGUCAAGAGAAAGGCCCACGGAGACAGACAGAGACCGAGCGAGGCCAGGCGGGCGGGCCUGACGCACGGGCAAGGCCGAGGCCGCCGGGCGGGGCGGCCGCGAGGGACGGAGACAGAAAGACGGGCAGAGCGAGAGAAAGAAAGAAAGGGCGUCCGCCCGCCUGGGGAUCCUGAGGCGAAGCGCGGCGUCGGCGGCUGAGGACACAGACCCUGGUCCCGCCGACUCCCGAGCGGCGUCUCCGGCGGCGGGGGGAGUGGGCGGGCGGGUGAGGAAGGGAGAAGGAGGAGAAGAGAGGGAGAGAAGGGAGGGAGGGAGCAGGGGGCGCCCGGCUCUUUUUUUUUUCCUCUUCCUCCCCCCCACACCCCCUGAAAGAGAUUUCUGAGAGGAAUUUUUUCUCUCUUUCUUCGGCCUCUUCUCUCUCCUCCCCCCCUUCUCUCCUCGGCGAAGGGGAAAUGAGUGUGAAGGGAGGAGAUAGGGGGAAAAAGAGGCGUCGUCGUUCCUCCUCCUUAAAGGAGCCUUUCCUCCUCCUCCUCCUCAGCCCCGUCGCCGCUGCUUCUGCUGCUGCUCCGUGGCAGGAGGAGCCAUUGACACCGCCGGAGCCACCACUCGCCCAAUCUCAGAAACUCAGAGGAAAAGAAAAGCCCCAAGGGGAAUUAUCUUUUGUGUCUGUAUCUGGUCCCCUCGAGAUAAUCUCUCCCCAGGGAAAACGUGUUUUAAUUCCCUCGCUGCUGUUGUGAUGACUGAAAAAGUAUCCUUUCUCGGUUCUUUGGCUCUCUUUUGUUUAUCACCUUAUGGAAAUGGUAAAACUAGCAAUUUACCUGAUUUUCGAUCCUAGGUGAUUUCUUUCUCAUUUCAGUUUGACCAGGUGCUCUAUCUUAGGUUUGAGAUGGAUGACUAAGUGGUUACAAAGUACAAUAAGAGAAGCAGGGGUAAGAGCCGGGUAGUGUGUGUUUUGGGAGCGGAGAGGAACAGUGAGAACCACUUUUGUGUCGGGUGUUUGAGUCUCUGACUUGAUGUAUGCCUCUGGGCAAAAUACUUUACGUUUCUAGCUUUCAGGGUUCCCUCCCUUUCAAUAAGAAUUUACUUUGAAUUACAUAAUACUGUUUUUAAUUUUAAAACAUUCUCUGAUUUUGGGAUGAGCUCUCUUUGGUCCUGACAAUGGAGAAACUUCGAUCUAAGUUUCCUUCUCAAGAAAAAUAUCGAGGAGGGAGGCUUACAAUGAAGAACUACAAAUGUUUAUGGUGGUUAGCAAGGUACAAAUGGGUACAGUUUUAUAUUUGGUUCAAAUAAAUGUAGCAGGAAAAAAGGAAAACUACACGCUAUUGUACAUAUUAUAAGUGGAUCCAUAACUCUUUAUUUUUUCUAAAACUUUACUUUUUUCCAGCAUGCAUUCAUUGGUUUCUUCUGUGUAUGUAUUGCUAUGUAAGGUACUAUGGGAGAUAGCAAAAAAUAAAAUAAAUUGCAAAAUAUGGGACAUAGUUUGUAUUUUUUUUAUGGUAGUUGAUUUAGUUAAUUCAGAUGUACAGAGAAAACAUAGCUUAUUCUCUGUAGCUUAUCCUUCUUGAGUCCCCAUGUUAUCCCUUUUCUUUUAUAGGUAAGUACUGAAUCUUACAGAUUUCCCCACUUCCCUGUCAUCCAAGAUAUACAUGGGAGUUGAGGGAUUUUGUGUAAAGUGUACAUAGACGGAAUGUCGCAUCUUCAAUAUCCUAGAUUUCCAAGUUGUAAUUAAUAAACUUGGAAUGAUAGUUCUCUGGCCAUGUGGCAGUAAGAUGCCUUAUUUUAACAAAACCAGUAUAUUAUGACAAUUUUCUGAUAGGUGGAAGUAAAAUGCCUUGAUAGUGCCUUUUUCUAAUUCACACAGUAACUAGUGGGCUGGUAGAAGCCUGUGGUAUGGGAAGGUCAGCAGGACAUCAAGGAAAAGCCCUGAGCCACGCAUGCCAGUCCUUGUGUUGUCCUUUACUUGUGGAGCGUCUGGUGUAGUCCAAAAGCAGAACUGCUAGCCUCAGAGAUAGAACUGCUCCCUCUGUCCUUUCGAGAAGUUGUGCUGCUUCCACACUGAACCAUUUGCCUUAUACACUGCAACUUCUGUCCUGAACCCAGGCCUCCGCAGGUCCACUGAUUCUCAUGAUGCCAUUCCAUCUUCUCACUGAAACAUGUGGGAACUUCUGGUUUCCCAGAAUAUCCCAUUUAGGCCUUGAUGAGCCAGAAACUUUGCUUCAAGCUCAUCUACUGAGCCACCUCCCUUCACCGAUGUUGCAUUUUUCUCCCUAUGUCAUGUGGAACAUGCCAUUAAGCUGAAAGCAGAGAUCCUAGCAGACUCAGCCUCUCACAGGCAUGCCCAGAGAAGCAAACCAUUACCCCAUUUUUCUUGGAUUUCCCCAUAUCUCUGAAUAUUUCAACUAUAUACUGCCAACUCUAGUUUCCACAUUGAGAAGGGACAGGAAGUAAGCACACUGAGUCUGAUUACCUCUUUCUGUCCCCCUUUCUUCUUUCCAUGAUCGCUUAGGGCUAUAAGAGAUGGAUUUUUCUAACACGACAUUGUAAAAUACAUAUUUUAAUUAUAAAGUUUUUUAAAAGAGAUUAUUUUUAUUCUUGUGACAAGAGCUUUCGUCAUGUACCACAUCCUCUUCAUUUUUUGUUAUGACUUCUACUGUGCUCCCUUUUUUGGAGCCAUGAUGGUGGAUGGGACGCAGGAAAGCGUUCCAUUAACAAUAAUGGAAUAUCUACUGGGAGAUAUUAAAAAAUAUUAUCCUAUCAUAUCUCUGGCUCCUACAUAUUUUUAGUUUAUCUUACAAAAGCGUUAAACGUUAGAGACUUCUUUGUGAAAAAGUGUUUAAAGCCAUCUUAAGUUAAAACUUGGGAGUUGUUAGAAUAGGCCUUGGAGAUCAUUUAAUUCUCAUGUUUGUAUUUGCUAUAUAAGGAAACUAAAAUUCAAAGAAAUGAGGCGACAGAAGCAAAUCCCAUAACUACUUAGUAGCAAAGUUAAUGCCUGACAGUCCAGUGCCCUUUCUGUUCACAGAUAUUAUAGACUUUUAAUUCUUCCAGUGAAACACAAAAUAUUCCAAAUGGUCUUAGCCAUCGCCAGGUCCACCUGUGUUAGCAGAUAAUCCGGUCAGUUAGCUGCCAUAGGAGGUAUAUGUGAGAGAAAACAGCAGAAAAACAUAAAGGAGAUUUUUAUUNNNNNNNNNNNGGGGGGUGGGUAGCAGUCUUCCAAAUUAUUUCAGUAUACACUUACCAUAAUUUCAGAGGACUGAGUUCCCUCAGGUUUGCUCGCUCUUCAAGAAUAUUUGUUUCUCUCAACUAAUUACUGGUGCUUAACAGGUUUGUGUACUUAAAAUUAUUUGUUUAUAAAACAUCACAAUAGGAGUGUGGAAAAAAUAAGCCCUUUAAUCAUUUUAAUACCUGGCAGGNNNNNNNNNNNNNNNNNNNNNNNNNNNNNNNNNNNNNNNNNNNNNNNNNNNNNNNNNNNNNNNNNNNNNNNNNNNNNNNNNNNNNNNNNNNNNNNNNNNGGAAAAAAUAAGCCCUUUAAUCAUUUUAAUACCUGGCAGGUGAUAUUUACUGUGAUUUUUAAAUGAUAAUUUUUACCAUUUCAAAGAUUCAGCUUCCCCUUUCCCUGUCAUUCCAUCAUCUAGUCUUAAGCCGUCAGUACUCAAGUCAGUUAUAUAAGACACCUGAAAGCUGCUCAUUCCUUUUAUGUCAUUUAGGAAAUUAGUUUGAUCUGAAUAUGGUUUUCCUGAAGGAAUAACCAGCUCUGUUUAAAAUAUCCUUGUUAGAGUAUGAAUGACUUAUCUCACUAAGCUGCAAAAAGUCAUUCUUUAGUACAUGCUCAGAUAAUAUUUUAUCAAUUAGUAAGUGAAAAUUAACUUGGAACUAAGAAUUUAAAUUCAGUGUAUAUGUGGGAAAACCUGGUAAGCAUGCAAUCAAAUGAUCCUCAUAACAGAGGUUAUCUGUAAAAAAAAUUAUAGAAUCUAACUUUAAUACCUUUCCCUGUGGAAUAAUAGAGACAUAGCGCUAUCAAAAGAAAUUAUGUUCAAGAUUUAGGAUGGGCUGUGAUAGACCACUGUAAAUCUUUUUAUUUUUUUGCUUUGAAAAGGAGAACCCAAUUUUGAAGUAUUGAGAAAAGACUAGGCCAAACAAUAAAACGGUGUUAUAUUAUGGAAGGACUGGUAGGUGACUGAACUGUGGGCAGAUGUAAAUGAAAGAUGGUGACAGAGCUCUGCUACCUGCUGGCUCUCUGACCUUGGCCAAGUUACUUAGCCUCUCUAUGCUUCAGUUUCUAUGUCAGUAAUAUGGGGGUGAUAAUAGUCCUCAUUUCAUGGGAUUGUUGUGACGAUUAUAAAAUGCUGAGAAGAGUGCUCAGUAUGCAGUAGGAGCUCGAUAAACUAUUAGCCAUUAU